AAACAUUUAACGCUUGUUAGCCGUUUACUCUCCGCUGCAACUAUGGCAGAGGUGGAAUACUCUCACUUGAAGGGCACGUGAAGAGGCGAGAGGGGAGGGAGGAGAGUGGUCUUUUAAAAACUGCUUCGGUGCACUAAUGUCCCUGAAACCUGAACCCAUAUUGGAUCUGAAGGGCAUUACAACAUUCUCCACACCCUCUGUUUUAAGGGAAGGAGAGGCGAAAAAGCCUUCCAGCAGAGCCCCACUCCGGCUCAGCCCUUCUCCCUGUGUGCCUGUCCCCUUGUCUCCGCUGCCGGGGCUGAUUGACCAGCCUCUCCGACAGACCCAGCUGCCGGCUCGCCCGGACGGCUCCCUCGCACCCAUCACGCCUGUUAACGUGAUGCAGCCGAGCGCAGUUAGCUGCCUCGUGGCCUCUGACGUUUGCCUGGAAAAGAGAGAGGACAUGCUCGACCUUCCUGUUCUACACCUGCGUUUAUGCUCUGGGGUCUUGACCCUCCGUAAAAAAAAAAAAAAGAAUCACUGGAGGGUCCAGGUAGCCAACAGACUGGAUUUAGCCGGCGCCAAGACCUGAGUCUGUCAUGGCGGGAUUCUCUCUUUCUUCACUUAAGGUUGAGAUUUCUGCCUUUCCACAAGACAUGGAUGUGAACUGCAGGUAAUGUGUAAACUGCCUGGAGCCCAAAGAAAGGACAAAGCCAGAAGAAUGACACAAAACAAUGGACUGCUGCAGUUUGGUUUCAGGUUUGGGCCCUGUUGAGGGCACAAACACACACAAUCACACACACACACACACACACACACACACACACACACACGUUACACACAGAGUUCCUCCCCAAAGUGACUCCCUUGUGUGGAGGGACCUUUUGCACAGAGGUUGUAGCAUCAGGCGCUCUCUCGCAGGACCAAAGGCAGCGAGUCCAUUAAAUACACAUGAGAGUCUAAUUAGGGCCCCCCUCGUGCAGCGGGCUAGGAGGUAGGAGUCAUUGGGGAACGACACUGCCGAGACCCUGACACUCGGAGAACACACUGUGCAAAUUAAUAGAGAAUGACCAAGAAGUACCUCUGUGACUGACUGGGACCUCUGCUUCCUUGGAGGCAAAAAUGUUCAGUGCUGAUUGCUCUCAUUAAAUUUGUUACAGUGAUAUAAUUAUGAAAAUAUGUCUGCAAAAUGGGAUGACUCUUGGUGUGUGGUUAGUUUGCAGACUAUGGUAAAUUUGAUAUGAAUGUUUAAUAUUUAUGUGGUUCGUGUGACCUUUAAAUGAGUCCAGGGAGGAGGAAUUGUUGAGUGUGUGUUUUAGUUUGUGGCCUCAUGUUACCCAGUUCCUCUGGUGAUUCACACCCAUUAAACAUCUCUGUUGUGGUCUUCAAAUGAAUGAUAGUCAACCAUCCUGAACAAGAUUAACAUAACUGAUCAUUUUGCUAAUUUGUUCCGAAAUCAAGCAGGAAA